rnacentral:lncRNA from 1 species
GUUGAGCACCAGGCAUAUAAAGAUGAAAGGGGCACAGUCUAACACAGCACGACGCUUGCACUGUAGCUAGCUAUCAUGGAGGCAGAGACAAUGGGCUAAUACGUUAUGAAUGCUGUGCAUGGAGUUUGCCUGAGAGCGGAUUCUUUACCAACGGAGCUAUGAGGGAAGCCCUGGGGACAUCAGGAGGAAGACAUUUGAAGAAAGGCAAACUGGUUAGCAAAGGUGACAAAAGAGUCAAAUCAGUGUCUUCAAGAAAUCUUGUUUUGGACUUCCCUGGUGGUCCAGUGGUUAAGAAUCCACCUGUCAAUGCAGGGGACAUGGGCUCGAUCCCUGAUCCGGGAAGAUUCCACCUGCCACAGGGCAACUAA